AGAGUUUGAUCAUGGCUCAGGACGAACGCUUGCGGCGUGCCUAAGAAAUGCAAGUCGAACGGAGGGGAAACCCUUAGUGGCGAACGGUCGCGUAACACGUAAGCAACCUGCCCGAAAGUGGGGGACAACAGCCCGAAAGGGCUGCUAAUACCGCAUGUGGUUGUUUCUUCGCAUGAAGAGACAUCUAAAGCCUUGUGCGCUUUCGGAUGGGCUUGCGGCCUAUCAGGUAGAUGGUGGGGUAACGGCCUACCAUGCCUUUGACGGGUAGCUGGUCUGAGAGGAUGUCCAGCCGGAUUGGGACUGAGAUACGGCCCAGACUCCUACGGGGGGCAGCAAUUAGGAAUCUUGCACAAUGGGGGAAACCCUGAUGCAGCGACGCCGCGUGAAGGAUGAAGGAUUUCGGUCUGUAAACUUCUUUUAUCGGGGACGAAGAAUGUGACGGUACCCGAAGAAUAAGCCCCGGCUAACUACGUGCCAGCCGCCGCGGUAAUAC
rnacentral:rRNA from 1 species